rnacentral:rRNA from 1 species
UACGUAGGGUGCGAGCGUUGUCCGGAAUUAUUGGGCGUAAAGGGCUCGUAGGCGGUUUGUCGCGUCGGGAGUGAAAACUCAGGGCUUAACCCUGAGCCUGCUCCCGAUACGGGCAGACUAGAGGUAUGCAGGGGAGAACGGAAUUCCUGGUGUAGCGGUGAAAUGCGCAGAUAUCAGGAGGAACACCGGUGGCGAAGGCGGUUCUCUGGGCAUUACCUGACGCUGAGGAGCGAAAGUGCGGGGAGCGAACAGG